UGGUUUUGCAAUUGGGUUUGAUUAGGACACUUGCAAAAUAUUGGAAAGAUCACGUUUUGGCCUAUAUCGAGUAGGGUGGGGAUGAGCGUGGGAUUCACAACCUCAACAGCCUGGUAAGUAGUGAGGUUUAGGAAGCUAUAAGUAGAAAGCAGGUAGAAAGUGUCACCUGCCUUAAUAGUGUAUGAAAUGUUUGCAUAAGAGUAAUUGACACCAGUGGUAACAUUGACAGUAUUGCAAGAACAUGACAAGGGGACAAAGAGAGAUUGGCCAGGGAUGAGAGGUGAAGAUGGAGAGGAGAUGUUGCUUGGUUUUGAUAUCAUUAGACGGCUAACAGAGAAAAGGUCACCAAUGGAACCCAGAUCCAGGUAGUUGGGCGCCGUGGCCUGGUAGAAGGCGUAGGUUUGGCAUGGGUUGCUAGUCUGGUUCACCGUGCAGGUGAAUCCUUGGGUGCUUGGCUCUGGCUGAGCUUGCAAAAGGUUAAGAACAUAAUUAAAACAAAGAAAGAAGAGGAAAGAAGAGACUAACUGGUUUGGGGUUCUCAUUUCUGGUUGUGUUUUUCCUCACACUGUUUUUUGUUGAUUUAUUUUCCAAGGAAG
rnacentral:misc_RNA from 1 species